rnacentral:lncRNA from 1 species
UUGAUCACAAAAUUCUGGAAAAAUAAUGAUAAAAAAGUAGACAAUCAGAUGAACAUGAUGCAAAAAACCCCAUGAAAAAUGGAUUUGAAAUGAACAAGUUAUGAAUUUUCAAAGGUUGAUGAUCAAAUGAAAUAUUUAUUGAAAUAAAAUGAAUUAAUUAUGAAAUAAUAAUGAAGCUGAUGGCAUCGUUGUAAUUAGGGCCUUCACUU